AUAAAUAUAAUAUGGCAUGUUCCUGCUUGUAUUUAUGAUUUGUUUGAUGAUGACACAACAAAUAAAUGUAAUUCUAUGGUGCUGGGAUCAUUAGCAGGGAUUUUGUCCCCCCAUUUCUUUGUAUUUUCCUAUUUUUCUUUUGUAAGUUGUCAGGUGGGAGAACUGUAACUCAAUUUCCCAUUGGCUUAGCUUCAGUGGUGUCUCCCUCUUGUGUCCCACCUUCCAGGUGCUACUUUUCCCUGCCUCCUGUGCUUCCCUCCAAUGUGAUUACAUAACUCCCUGCCCCUGUCUUGUUAACUCCGCCCAUGUCUCUAUAAAAUGGUUCUCCACCCAUUUCAUCCAUUUGCCAGUAACUACAUGCAGCAGUGUUUCUAUCCCUGCCUUUCCAUGUGUUGUUUUCUCUUGUUUCCUGUGGCCUCCUAAUUUGUCUAAUUGAAAGGGGACCAAAUGGAGGCGCAGAGCACAUGGGAGGGAUUACACAUCCAGACUGGACUUCAAGCACGUUUUUGAUUCUUCAAAAUGGAGCUGGAGAUUGCGGCCAGGGCUUAUUGCUUAUGAACUUUGCUAUAUCUCCUCCUGCUGCAGCCUCAACUUUCUACACACUGCUGUCUCCAGAGGCUGCUGUGAGGAGCAGCAAGGACGUAAGCACUGCAAAGGCCUCCAAUAAAAAAGUACAUCCGCUGCACGGGGACCAAGGUUGUGGACAAGUGGCCUGUUGGUUUGACGGAUGAACAACUGCAGUUAACGCUGAAUGCUGACCCAGAACGUGUAGGAGUUCCUGCAAUAUGGACCUAAUCGUUGAUCUGCAGCAUAUCAGCUUCUAUGGCACUGGUAGUCCUGUCUGUUUCCCGUGGCUGCACUCCCCUGUGGUUUCCUGCUUCUGCCCUUCUGUUCUGUCUGCCCAUCUGCCUGGCCUGAGACAGAGUGGCCAAGUUAUUAAGACACGAAUUAUGACCAUGUUCCAGAUUUGUGUUUCUACUGCAAGCAAGAAGUGACAAUGAUGAGGGACCAUCUGUCUAAGAGAAAUCCCGACCAGCUUAUACUUACUUCACGAUUGGACCAAUUUCCAAGCAAUUACCAUGUCAAAGCAAAGUAAUAGGACUUGACCCAUGACCAGGAAUCAAUAUCCAUGUUCUGACAUGGGCCUUCAUGCGCCAGGACACCACGGUCGUGUGUCAAGAAUGAAAGGAUAGUUCCUUGGAGUGCAAAGUCAGGAUUUGGAUUUUGCAGCCCAGCCGUAAAUGGAUAUUGAUUCGACACCCACUCGGUUUAAUAGGAAUGGAGCAGCCAGAACAGGAGCUUCCCAGGUUUCUACUGAACCACAUUGAAACACAGGAGGUCGAGGACGGCAGGAUACAAGGGAGGUUCUGUCAUGUUCCUGCUGGCCUUUGUUCAGCACUGAAGAACCCAUUCAUACAGUGCAGCAAAUGGACCAACAAGGGAAUACGAGGUCUGUCUCCUCAGGUCUGAAACUGUCACACCAUUUGACCCUAUUAUUCCAACUGGAAGCCUUCCAGGACUCAGCUACGGCCCACUAAGCUCCCAGUGGGUUAAAAACACUGCAUCAGCUGCCUAAACACUGUGAGCAUCAUUUUGCAGCAACACCUUUUUCUAGUCAUUAAUAUUAAACGCUGCUAACUAGGACAUUCUGCAGCACAGUGUGAAGAAGUGCACAGCUCAUUUCCCCGUGCAUGUGGGCCUGGGCAGAAGAGAAUGGCAAGUUAAAUAUCAGGCAUGUGAUAUGAAUAAACCCCCUCCAGGACUAUCGGCUCCCCCUGCUGCCUUCUCUCCUUUUCAAUGAGGAACGGCCUAUUGUGCCAAGGCAAAUAGUGAAUAGAAACAAGUGGUUCCUUUGCUAGUCACAAACAGAAACUGUAACAGUUUCUCUUCUCAUGUCUGUUUACAUUUAUACCUACACAUUCGUUGAUAUUGAUUUUUGAGUCCCUGGUGAUGAAACUGUAAUAAUGCUGUAAAAUAUAACUCUGUAAAAUAUUGACAUGGACCCAUCACAGUUAAACAAAUAUUUAGAUGAAAACUUGUAAGUAAUCUUUUAAAAUAAAAAAUAGCCAAAUGAUGAAAAAAAUGAAGACAGGACAGAGCGUUCGGAGUCAUAUUUAAAGUCAGAUCUCUAUCAUUGUACUGCAAACACACAGUACAAAUGCAAUACGGAUAGGAUUUUAGCUGAUUAUCUCACAGCCACUAAAUAUACAUAGCCAGAAUACAGAUACAAAAUAAAGAUGUAUUGUAUUUUAGAAAAGAGCAGGUUAUACUCAUUCUUGCAUGGUUCAGGUGUGUGUACAGCAGAAUGAAUCUGCAUCUCAUUAGUCAUUAGUAUUUUAAUACUAAUCUACUUUAAUAUUGUAAUAUAUUUUUUGCACCAUAUGCCUUUCUGCAUGUUUAUUGUACAGUCGUACUAUUGUAAGUAACAACGUUAUGUACAUCGUACAUAUAUAUGUAUAUACAGUACUUCUCUGAUGUUCCAAAACCACCAGAAAUAAAAAACAUUAUUUCACC